CACCUUGACGAUGAUGAUCUCGUCUCCUACAUCCUUGCUUUUAUGGAUGUUGAUUUUAAUCCGGUGGUGACAUCAGUUGCAAACCGGACUGAAGCUAUCACUGUGGGUGAACACUUUGCUCGACUUGUUAGCUUUGAGA
rfam:Oryza meridionalis cultivar OR44 (W2112) chromosome 1, whole genome shotgun sequence.